GCCGCCGUGGCGUAGUGCUCAGCGCGCGGAGCGACCAUCUGGUGCGCCGUGGUUCGAAUCCCGGCGGCGGCG
rnacentral:tRNA from 1 species